rnacentral:rRNA from 1 species
GAGCGCCGUAGCAAUACGGAGCGGCAGACGGGAGAGUAACACGUGGGAACGUGCCCUUUGGUUCGGAACAACCCAGGGAAACUUGGGCUAAUACCGGAUAAGCCCUUACGGGGAAAGAUUUAUCGCCGAAGGAUCGGCCCGCGUCUGAUUAGCUAGUUGGUGGGGUAAUGGCCCACCAAGGCGACGAUCAGUAGCUGGUCUGAGAGGAUGAUCAGCCUCACUGGGACUGAGACACGGCCCAGACUCCUACGGGAGGCAGCAGUGGGGAAUAUUGGACAAUGGGCGCAAGCCUGAUCCAGCCAUGCCGCGUGGGUGAUGAAGGCCCUAGGGUUGUAAAGCCCUUUCGGCGGGGAAGAUAAUGACGGUACCCGCAGAAGAAGCCCCGGCUAACUUCGUGCCAGCAGCCGCGGUAAU